rnacentral:rRNA from 1 species
AGUCGAGGGGUAUGCUUCUUCGGAAGCAGAGACCGGCGCACGGGUGCGUAACGCGUAUGCAAUCUACCUUUUACAGAGGGAUAGCCCAGAGAAAUUUGGAUUAAUACCUCAUAGCAUAGCAGUCUCGCAUGAGAUCACUAUUAAAGUCACAACGGUAAAAGAUGAGCAUGCGUCCCAUUAGCUAGUUGGUAAGGUAACGGCUUACCAAGGCUACGAUGGGUAGGGGUCCUGAGAGGGAGAUCCCCCACACUGGUACUGAGACACGGACCAGACUCCUACGGGAGGCAGCAGUGAGGAAUAUUGGACAAUGGGCGCAAGCCUGAUCCAGCCAUGCCGCGUGCAGGAUGACGGUCCUAUGGAUUGUAAACUGCUUUUAUACGAGAAGAAACACUGCUUCGUGAAGCAGCUUGACGGUAUCGUAAGAAUAAGGAUCGGCUAACUCCGUGCCAGCAGCCGCGGUAAUACGGAGGAUCCAAGCGUUAUCCGGAAUCAUUGGGUUUAAAGGGUCCGUAGGCGGUUUAAUAAGUCAGUGGUGAAAGCCCAUCGCUCAACGGUGGAACGGCCAUUGAUACUGUUAAACUUGAAUUAUUAGGAAGUAACUAGAAUAUGUAGUGUAGCGGUGAAAUGCUUAGAGAUUACAUGGAAUACCAAUUGCGAAGGCAGGUUACUACUAAUGGAUUGACGCUGAUGGACGAAAGCGUGGGUAGCGAACAGGAUUAGAUACCCUGGUAGUCCACGCCGUAAACGAUGGAUACUAGCUGUUG